GACAGAGGAUGCAAGCGUUAUCCGGAAUGAUUGGACGUAAAGCGUCUGUAGGUGGCUUUUUAAGUCCGCCGUCAAAUCCCAGGGCUCAACCCUGGACAGGCGGUGGAAACUACCAAGCUGGAGUACGGUAGGGGCAGAGGGAAUUUCCGGUGGAGCGGUGAAAUGCGCAGAUAUCGGGAGGAACACCGGUGGCGAAGGCGGUUCUCUGGGCCUGACCUGACGCUGAGGAGCGAAAGCGUGGGGAGCGAACAGG
rnacentral:rRNA from 1 species